GACGAACGCUGGCGGCGUGCUUAACACAUGCAAGUCGAACGGAAAGGCCCUGCUUUUGUGGGGUGCUCGAGUGGCGAACGGGUGAGUAACACUUGAGUAACCUGCCCUUGACUUUGGGAUAACUUCAGGAAACUGGGGCUAAUACCCUAUAUGAGCUCCUGCUGCAUGGGGGGGGUUGGUACGUUUCGGCGGUUGGGGAUGGACUCGCGGCUUAUCAUCUUGUGGGUGGGGUAGGGGCUUACCAAGGCUUUGACGGGUAGCCGGCCUGAGAGGGUGGACGGCGCCAAGGGGACUGAGAUAGGGACCAGACAAGAAUGGGAGGCAAAAGGGGGGAAUAUUGCGGAAAGGGGGGAAGUCUAAGAAAAAAACGGGGAGGGCGGGAAGACGGCCUUUGGGUUGGAAACAGGUUUCGGAUGUGAUGAAGGGAGAGUGACGGUAAUGGGUAAAGAAGCACCGGCUAACUACGUG
rnacentral:rRNA from 1 species